rnacentral:lncRNA from 1 species
AUCUCUUAGUGUUUUAUUUUGAACAGUUUCCAUUGCUCUCUCAUCAGGUUUACUAUUCUUUUCUUCUGCCAUGUCAAACCUGAAGUUUAUCCCCUGUAGUUACUUUUUCAUUUCAGACAUUCUGGUUUUCAUCUUUAAAAAUUUUAUCUGUGUCUUUUUUGUAUUUCUGCUUUUCAGCUUUUUGAAUGUAUAGAAUGUAGUUAUAGUAGCUGUUUGAAAGACCUAGUCUGGUAAUUCUAACAUCUGUGUCAGUUAUGAGUUGGUUUUGAUUGAGUGUUCUUGUCAUUGUGAGUCAUAUUUUUCUUCCUUUUUCCAUACUUGAAGAUUUUUUAUUAGAUGUUGGGAAUUGUGAAUUUUAACUUUCUAGGUGUUGGAUAAUUUUGUAUCUCUGUAGAUAUUCUUAUAUUUUAUUUUUGGAUAUAUUUAUUUUUUAUUUUCCAUUAUAGUUUUUCACAGUGUUCUGUCAAUUUCGAGUGUACAGCAAAGUGACCCGGUAAUUCUCUACUGCUAAGGCAAAACUAUUCUUAGAACUCUCCCACGUCCAUGUGACUUACAGAGUUUUCCACUACAGCUGUUGGGAACAGGCACUUCCUGACUCUGUGUGAGCAACGGAUACCAGUCCACUAACCCUGUUGGUGACUCUUCUCCCAAUCCCAGUUACUUUCAUCACAUAUAUACUUGAUCAAUAUGCUGCUAAACUCAGGAAUUGACCCUGUACGGUUCUCUAGAGUUCUCUUUCUUUGUGACUCUUUCUUCUUUGAACUCCACCUAAAGAACUCCAGCAACCCUGGUAUCCCAAGACACUCAGCUCUAUCUCUUCAACUCAGGGAUUCUGCUGGACUACACAUAGUUUCCCCUCUCUGCUCCAUGACCAGGAGUCUUCCCCAGUGUUGUAAGCUUGGGCAGCCAGAGGCUUCACCUCACUCAUUUCUCACAUCCCAGGGAUUGCAUUCUUCAUUGUUAAUAUCCAAUGUCUUGGAAGUCAGUGCUUCAUAUAGCUUGUGUACUUUGUGCGUGUGUUGUAAGAAGAAAAAUCUAGUCUACAAAAUUCCAGUUUGGCCAGAAGUGGAAGCCUUAGCUUGGUAUUUAAUCCAGUUUGCUUCCAUUUUCCAGUAUCUGUGAGAAAGAGCAAGAGUUAUAAAUACAGACAGGGAACAUAAGAGGGUAGAGGCUAUACAGAAUUAAUAAAGUUGUAAGCCGUCAGUAUAUUUAUGAGGUUAACACAGAUGUGACCUCUUUUCAAAAGUCAACAUUAAAGGCAUUCCUUUUUCAUAUGAAAAAAUUAAAUGUGUAUUGCACAGUACAUGAAGGAGGAACUGAAACUCAGUUUGAGAAAUGACUGAAUUAGUCUCCAUUGCUUCUCAAAUAUCGUAAUUUUUAUCUGCAAGGAGUUUGGAGGCUUGUUGUUUGGAGAAUCUGCCUGUAAAGCUGUUACAUCUCAUUGACAAGCUGAGAAAUUUCUUCUUGGUUUGGUUUAAUUGUAUCUUCUCUUAUUUUGUACAUUGUCAUCAUUUUAAAAGACACUGAUCUGCUCCUGGAUGUAUUUAUCAGAAGGAUUCACUCUGGUAAUUUCCUAAAAGAGAAACAUAUCUAUCUGAUAGACUUUUCAAGUACAGUUACUCAAUUUGGAAUUCAGUGGAGUAGAUCCAAUAGCUCCCAUCAAUAGUAGGAAUCAUCUUUCAGAGCAGUGGCACUCUGUAUUUGACAUGCAACAGUUCUGUGUGCUGAAUUAAUUCCAGGGACUUGAAUACAUACUUCGUGAACAUGUAGAAACAUUUUUGGUUCUAAAAAUAAUCAUGGUAUCUUUCAUUUGCAUGUGGUGUUAUAAAUUUGAAAACGUAAGUCCACAUUCCUAAAGGCCAGGGAAACAAAAAAAAAAUAUAUAUAGAAAAAUUAAAUGCUGAACUGUAUGGAAAUUAUUAUAUGAACAGUAAGAAAUUAGGAGGAAAAUCUGUAUCAUCUAGAGUGGUUCAGGGAAACUAUGUGGGAGACCAAAAUUGCUUAGUAGAUAAAGGUGAGGAGAGACGUUCUUACAAAUGAUGAAAAACAGCAUGAGCAAAGGCAAGGGGUUGGAAAUAAGAGCAGAAUACAUGAAAGGAAGUGAGCUGUUAAAGAAUGCUUUUGGGAAGGGCUGGGAAAUAAAGUACUCUCAGAUGAUGAAUGGCCUGCAAAGCCAAACAGAAAAAUUUGUAACUAAAGCCAAAAAUAACAGGAAGCCACUGUAGAUUUUUGAGCAAAUGACAACUAUAAGUACAGCUUUAUGGAUAUGCUGGCAGUGACAUGCAAGGUGGAUGACAGAGAGGAUAAAGUGAGAAGGACCAGCUUGACUCUACUGGUGUCCUUCAAGUUAGGAGGACUAUGUCAAGGAUAUGAGAAAAAAAAUAUAAGAGACAAAAAGGAUCAGUUAAUAUUCUGAAGGAUGAAAUAAGGAGGCUUGAACUGUCCCACCUUUCACUGUUCUCUGUCUCCCCAGUGGGAGAUUUCAGAAGCAGGGAUGAGGAGUGAAAGACAGAGGUGUGUAUCUGCCCCAUUCUCUCAUGUCACCUUAUGUAGAUGCUCACUCAGCUUCUCAGUCUCCUUGGAUGCUGUCUCUAUGGUGAACUGACCUUCCCCAAGAAGGGAUAGAGCAUAGCGUGGUGCUUACAUGCAUGAAGAUUAGACCAUUGCUACUUUUUUCCCUUCUGAAAAUUGAAUGAACAUUUUAAAAGUCAAAAUUGAGAAACUAGAAACA